GCGUCGGUGGUAGAGUGGUCAAUUACACGACACUGUAAAUGUCGCGGCUUCGGCCUACGAAGGUUCGAAUCCUUCCCGGCGCA
rnacentral:tRNA from 1 species